rnacentral:rRNA from 1 species
UACGUAGGGGGCAAGCGUUGUCCGGAAUCAUUGGGCGUAAAGCGCGCGUAGGCGGCCCGGUAAGUCCGCUGUGAAAGUCAAAGGCUCAACCUUUGAAUGUCAGCGGAUACUGCCGGGCUAGAGUCCGGAAGAGGCGAGUGGAACUCCUGGUGUAGCGGUGGAAUGCGCAGAUAUCAGGAAGAACACCAACGGCGAAGGCAGCUCGCUGGCCUGCAACUGACGCUGAGGCGCGAAAGCGCGGGGAGCAAACAGG